rnacentral:tRNA from 1 species
GAGGAUGCUACAUUGGGACUUAGUCAGGGUAGCUCAGCUGGU